rnacentral:lncRNA from 1 species
CUAGAUGAGGAUCAAGUCCACAAUUCAAUAUUCCACAUGAUUUUUCCAUUUCAUCUGCAAUUACUAGAUUAAAAGGUAAUAAAAUUAAUUACUUAACAUGCAUUCUAAAUCAUCCUUAAAUUUGAUAUGUUGGGUUCCAGCUGUAGGCAAAACUUUGGAUAAGUACAGAAAAAAAAAAUUAAAAAAGAGUAAAAAUGAAAAAGGAAGAAAAUAUCGAUCAAACCUCUUGUUCAGGAGAAAUCAAACGGAGGGGCGGCGCUGGUUUUUGAUCUAACCCUUGAAGCCCCGACGCGCUAUUUUUCCGGUUACGUAUGAAUUAUUUUCCACAAAGAACUUAAACUCGGGAAGAGAAAGACCAGGAGACAUAUAUAGCCAAAGGCAGCGACUUAAAGUCCUGGUGCCGCAACGUGAUCCAAUCCUUGUCCCCGAUGAUAACGUAGUCACACUUGUCAUCUCAAGAAUCAUUGGACGAGGCAUAUUAACCUUCAUAUACAUGUGGGGUCCAUUUUGAAAAAAUUAGGUGGAGUAUGU